rnacentral:lncRNA from 1 species
UUUGUUGCAAAAUCUUAUUUACAUAGGGAAAAAAAAAGAACUAGCAGACAAACUAUGCCCUGUCUGUCUUAUGUUUGCAGAUUGUGGAGGUGAGUUGAGAAGGAUGCUCAUGGAAAGGGGUCUGGAGGCAGCUGAAAUCAACAGGCAGCUCCAAGGGUAUUUUCAGCCUCAGGAAUACACCAGAAGGGAUGGUGAAAGCCAGGAAGAAAUGCUUAACAAAACUCAGAGCGUGACCACAUUGGUGACUUCGGUGAAACCCUUCGUGGAGACACUUUCACUUAUUGCAGCAGCUCCCCGGGCACGGCAGAUAACGGGUUCCUCUCAGCACAAGCGCCGAGAAGUCCACAGUCAAUUACCAGCCCCUUGCCUGCAGCCAAUGGACGAGGGAUCCUGCCGGCACUACGCCCUGCUCUGGUAUUACCAUGCAGAGGCCGACGCCUGCCGGCCCUUUGUCUUCGGGGGAUGCCGAGGGAACAGCAACCGCUUCGAAACCAAGUGGAAAUGUGAGCAGCGGUGCAAAACCUCAGCAGUCCGAGGGAGGUGAUCAGCUGCAGUUGCCUUGUUUAAAUCAAAGAGAAAUGAAGCUGUGAGAAGUGUCUCCAGGACACCUCGGAGACUGGCCAAGCAAGACAAACUAUUUAAAGUGAAGAGGCAAGGGAUGCUUGAAAAAAAAUGUUGGAAAACUGUAAUUAUGAGCAGGAAAUAAAGUGGUAUGAGGAAAAGGAAACA